CCGACGGCUGCCCCCCUCAGCACCUCGUGCCGGGAGAGGAUCCCUUUCUCCUCAAGAGUUGCUCUCUUCAGCAGUCUGCGUCGUGGCGUGUCAGAGCCCUUCUGAAUUUUAGCCUUUUCCCCCCUACGGACUGAUCCCUCUUGGUCCCUCAUCUCCCUUGCUUUCCUCUCCUUCAGCUCCCUGAGGGAACCCUGUGGCCUGUCGGGGAGUCUUUUCCUGAAGGAGCGUGCGCGAGCAGCCAAUGGUCUACUUUCAAAAGAAGACUGAGAACUGUUAUCUGUAAAGCCACAGAAGGUGUGCAACUUGAUGAGAUAUUAAGUGAAUAUGAGGGAGACAUACAAAAAAGGAUAUAGGUGUCUACUGUGAUUCUGCUGGUGUAGAGAUGUUGGUGAUUUAUGUGUGAGAGCCAGAUGGCAUAAACCAGUAAAGCCAAAUAAUUCAUCAGUCUACAGACUUGUGAUAGACUGGUCCCCAGACGAGGCCAGGAUGGUUGGAAGUCUUUUCGUGCUGCUACAGCAUUGUCAUGAAUUGUCUGUCUUCAGAAGUUAAAAGCAUUUGGCUUCUCAAGACCCAGCAUGAGAAAGAUUACUGCUGUUCUGCAGGUAGGUGAACACUGACCUCACUGAAAUGAAGUUACUUGCUUAGGAUCAGAAAAUCAACAGAGCUGAGAAAAAAAUUAGAUUUCCUUAAUCUCAAGUUAUAUCUUUACCACCAUCCUUCCCCUCUUAUCAUCAUUAUUACUGGUAGUAAGUAUUUACAUCUGGUAUUGCGUGAACCAUGGUUAGCUCAUAGAAGUUUCUAGCUGUAUAUAUAAAUCUAUCAUGUGAAAUCAUUUAUACUGAGAAAGAUAAAUAUUGAAAUAACAGGGUUAAAACCAGGAUAAAAAGAGCCCAAAGAGCCCGUUAGUUGACAAAAACAUUUUUCUUGUCUUCAUCUGCCAGAGGGUGAAACUGGUCUGAUAUAAAUUUAAAAAAAAGAGAGAGAAAACAACUAAACAAGGCAAGAAGUUGCAUGCUUGUUUAAUGGCAAACAUGUUAAAUUCCACAUAUAACCAUUAUGGACUAACCCCCUUGUAUGACUGACUCAGUGCAAAUGUUGACUACAGCCAGUGAGGCAGGCUCACUUUGUUCAGUUAAUGGCUUCCUGAACAAUAAGGAGAAAAAACAAUGAGAACUGUUAUGAAUAAGAUCCUCAUAAAAUGUGGGUCUAAUUGCUCUAAUUGCUUAAACAAUAUGAGUUGUCAAGUGCCCAGCGCAGACUGUAAUGUAGGAGAACCGGAGAAAUCAAAUUAAGAGGUAUGCAGUUUACCUUUUCCUGCAUGCUCACGUUCUCACCCAAAUCACUGGGAACUUUAGGUGCUGUCUCCAUACCAGAAGAGGAACAGUAGCACUCAAAACUGCACCCAUAAUAUUGUCAUUUAUGUGAACUGCUACUUCAGGACAAAGGUGACAGGAGAAAGUAUAGUGGUGUUCACGUGACUCUUCUAUGUAGUUCUAGAUCUCUCAGACUAAGCUGUCCUCGUGUCCAUGUUUUAACAGAGUGGAAGCGUCUGAUAAAAAUCUUAUGAGCCACUACUUCUUGGUAUUGGUAUCAGGUACUACUUCAUCCUCUGAAAGGCACAGAAAAAUUGUAUGAUUUCUUAUCCAUAUAGAACCUUAAGAGAACUCAGAAAUGCAAACUUUGUAGCAAGCCAGGGACAGGGCAAAACUCUGCUGUCCUUUUUCAAACUGAGUAGGAUAAUUGUUCACCUGAAGUUUUAAAGGCUGGUUGGAAUACUGGUUUUUGUUAACCUUAUUAAAAUAAAGAGAGAGCAAGAAGACCUCUUCACUGAAAGAACAGAAACAAAAUGUACUGAAAGGAGGAUGUAUGUGGAACAAAUUCUGUAGUAAAAUCUACUCAGAUGGGGUAUCUAGUGCUUGAAUCAUUUAAAAUGAGAUGGGACUCAGCAGUUACAGAACAGUGAAAGGAGCUAUCUUGCAUUUGCCUAGGGCAGUUCUUCCUCAUGAACGGCUUCUCAGCUGAUCUUUCCUACAUCUUCUGUGGUAGCUAAAGCAGAGCUUUUUCCAGGUGCUGAAGAUAAACAAACUGUCUAUUUAGUUUUUUCCCUAAUGUGCUUGUGGGGAGACCCCAGAAUGGCUUUUUGCAGAAGUGGGGUUGAGUAUACCUCUGGCAAGAGUUCUGCACACUAGGAAGUAGAGGGAGGGCUGGGAUAAGAUAGAAACGUGGAGGGGGGAAAAGGUUCAGCUGCCCCCUGGGUGACAAGGCACUUUCUACCUGUCUGAAGCAUAGGUGAACUAAGCAGCUGAUCACCAGACAUGUGGCAUAUUUCAGCAAAAAAUUUGAUCCUUCCUCCAGCACUUGGCCAAAAUGGUAUCAGCCAUAGUGUUUGCUCUUUAUGAAGGAUAAGAACAAGUGUAUCUAACCUGAAAUGCCAAAAGGUGGCAUUCUUCACAAACCUGGUACUGGAAAGGACUUUGUCUUGCAACUGAGCUUCUGUUUUUAAGGCUCCUAGUCCUAGAAGCAAAACUAACAUCUGACUCCCCGAGACUGCCGAUAAACAACAUGGUAGCUGGGACUGGGAUGCAACCUCUCUAGGCUGGACUGAAUCCACUAGGUCAUUUCACAGGGGCAGCUAAUAGGUAAAAAUAGGUGCCGGUGGAUAACAAAGCAUCACAUCUUAUUACCAAUUCCCUGAGAAAGCCAACAUCCUUCUGUCUUUCCUCUCAAAAGGAUGCUUUAUUCUAAUUACAUAUCACUUUAUUAGGCAGCUGAAGCAAAGAGCACAUUUGAUGCUAAUGAAGUGCUGCUGUGGUUGGAGUCUGUAACUAUUUUUGGACCUGCACAUCUCCAGCACUUUUGAUUGGGUGGCUGGGGCUUUGGAUGUCUCUAGCUUCUUCUGUGGGGGAUGCUCAGUGAAAAGCAAUGACUCAGCUAGCCAGGACUGCAGAACUGUUUAUAUGGCUCAGAUUGUGAAAAGCUGCGGGACAGCAACAAUGCACAAAAAAGCUCUUUAUUUGGUGGAAGUAUUUUCCAGGUAGUGGACAGUACUAUCUAGAUUGAAAAAUCCUUCUGAAUAUUCACAUUGUUUCUGGGUUGGUCAUCUGUACAGUCUUUGCUUUUUCUCUUUUCCAUCCUCCACCUCAGAGCAUUUAAAAAAAAAAAAAAAAAAGCGCCGGAUUU